rnacentral:rRNA from 1 species
UACGGGGGGGGCAAGCGUUGUUCGGAAUUACUGGGCGUAAAGGGUUUGUAGGUGGCUUGCUAAGUCAGACGUGAAAUCCCUCAGCUUAACUGGGGAACUGCGUCUGAUACUACUCAGCUAGAGUAUGGGAGAGGGUAGUGGAAUUCCCGGUGUAGCGGUGAAAUGCGUAGAUAUCGGGAGGAACAUCAGUGGCGAAGGCGGCUACCUGGCCCAAUACUGACACUCAGGUGCGACAGCGUGGGGAGCAAACAGG